rnacentral:rRNA from 1 species
UCUGCAUGCCCUAUGGAAAGUAGGGAGGCCUUCGGGGUGAUACACAGGUGCUGCAUGGCCGCCGGCAGCUCGUGUCGUGAGAUGUAGGGUUAAGUCCCGAAACGAGCGCAACCCCUAUUCUAUGUUACAAGUGUCUUAGAAAACCGCCUCGGUAAAACGAGGAGGAAGGUGGGGAUGACGUCUGGUCCGCAUAGCCCUUAUGUCCUGGGCUACACACACGCUACAAUGGCCGAUACAGUAGGAUGCCAAAUCGUAAGAUGGAGCUAACCCUCAAAAUCGGUCUCAGUUCGGAUUGAGGUCUGAAAUUCGACCUCAUGAAGUUGGAUUUGCUAGUAAUCGUAGAUCAGCAAUGCUACGGUGAAUACGUUCUCGGGUCUU